rnacentral:rRNA from 1 species
UACGGAGGGUGCGAGCGUUGUCCGGAAUCACUGGGCGUAAAGGGCGCGUAGGUGGCCUGUGGAAGUCUGCGGUGAAAGCCCGGCGCUCAACGCCGGGUCGGCCGUGGAUACUCUCGGGCUCGAGCUUACUAGAGGCAGAUGGAAUUCCGGGUGUAGCGGUGGAAUGCGUAGAGAUCCGGAAGAACACCGGUGGCGAAGGCGGUCUGCUGGGGUAAUGCUGGACACUGAUGCGCGACAGCGUGGGAGCAACAGG